CUACGGGUCGCACCAGUGAGGAAUAUUGCACAAUGGGGGGAACCCUGAUGCAGCAACGCCGCGUGGAGGAUGACGCAUUUCGGUGUGUAAACUCCUUUUAUAUGUCAAGAAAAUGACGGUAGCAUAUGAAUAAGCACCGGCUAACUCCGUGCCAGCAGACGCGGUAAUACGGAGGGUGCAAGCGUUACUCGGAAUCACUGGGCGUAAAGGACGCGUAGGCGGGUUGGAAAGUCAGGUGUGAAAUCCUACAGCUUAACUGUAGAACUGCACUUGAAACUUCUAAUCUAGAGUAUGGGAGGGGGAGAUGGAAUUAGUGGUGUAGGGGUAAAAUCCGUAGAUAUCACUAGGAAUACCUAAAGCGAAGGCGAUCUCCUGGAACAUUACUGACGCUAAGGCGUGAAAGCGUGGGGAGCAAACGGGAUUAGAUACCCGGGUAGUC
rnacentral:rRNA from 1 species